rnacentral:snoRNA from 1 species
AAGCACUUAACCACUAAGCCAUCUUGCCAGCCCAGAAAAGAUAAUUUUGAUGUGCUAAGCAGACCUUUGGAGGUCAUUUAGCAUCAUGACUUAAUUUAGCCACUGCUGUUAGUCACUUUCAGACAAGG